AGUGAGCGCUGGCGGUAGGCCUAACACAUGCAAGUCGAACGGCAGCACAGUAAGAGCUUGCUCUUACGGGUGGCGAGUGGCGGACGGGUGAGGAAUACAUCGGAAUCUACUUUUUCGUGGGGGAUAACGUAGGGAAACUUACGCUAAUACCGCAUACGACCUACGGGUGAAAGCAGGGGAUCUUCGGACCUUGCGCGAUUGAAUGAGCCGAUGUCGGAUUAGCCAGUUGGCGGGGUAAAGGCCCACCAAGGCGACGAUCCGUAGCUGGUCUGAGAGGAUGAUCAGCCACACUGGAAUUGAGACACGGUCCAGACUCCUACGGGAGGCAGCAGUGGGGAAUAUUGGACAAUGGGCGCAAGCCUGAUCCAGCCAUACCGCGUGGGUGAAGAAGGCCUUCGGGUUGUAAAGCCCUUUUGUUGGGAAAGAAAAGCAGCAGGUUAAUACCCCGCUGUUCUGACGGUACCCAAAGAAUAAGCACCGGCUAACUUCGUG
rnacentral:rRNA from 1 species